AAUCAUUUCCUAGAUGAACAACAAAUUGAAUUUCCAUAUCAUCCUUCCACAUGGCACGACGAGGUGUACUGUAAUGUAGAUUAAUCUUCCUUGAGAACCAUGAAUCAUCCAGUAAAACUUUUAUUAUUUUGACUAUUUCAUGGUUUGUGAACCA